GCCCGGAGCCGCCCGGCUGGUUCCCCGGCGUUCGGCGACGGCGGCGGCGGCGACAUGGAGAGCGGGGCCUACGGCGCGGCCAAGGCGGGCGGCACCUUCGACCUGAGGCGCUUCCUGGCGCAGCCGCAGGUCGUGGUGCGCGCCGUGUGCAUGGUCUUCGCCCUGAUCGUCUUCUCCUGCAUCUUCGGCGAGGGCUACAGCAAUACCCACGAAUCUUCGCAGAGAUUCUGCGUGUUCAACCACAACGAGGACGCCUGCCGCUACGGCGAGGCCAUCGGGGUGCUGGCCUUCCUGGCCUGCGCCUUCUUCUUCGUGGUGGACGUCUACUUCCCCCAGAUCAGCAGCGUCACGGACCGCAAGUACCUGGUCAUUGGUGACCUGCUCUUCUCAGCUCUCUGGACCUUCCUGUGGUUCGUUGGCUUCUGCUUCCUCACCAACCAGUGGGCGGCCACCAAGCCCCAAGACGUGCUGCUGGGGGCCGACUCGGCCCGCGCCGCCAUCACCUUCAGCUUCUUCUCCAUCUUCUCCUGGGGGGUGCUGGCCUCCCUGGCCUACCAGCGCUACAAGGCCGGGGUGGACGACUUCAUCCAGAACUACGCGGACCCCACGCCCGACCCUGGCUCGGGCUAUGCCUCCUAUCCUGGGGCGUCCGUGGACAACUACCAGCAACCGCCCUUCACCCAGAACGCCGAGGCCACCGAGGGCUACCAGCCGCCCCCCGUGUACUGAGUUGCUGCCGGGGACGGCACACACACUUGAAAAGCCCCUGAGUUCCAGGCCCCAGCAGGGGAAGUGCCACCCACACAUAAGAAGAUAAUUCCAGAGAAGCAAGAACAGAAACCCAACAGCACUCGCCGCAAAGGGGGAAGAGGCUGGCGGCGCCGAUGUCACAAGAGCAUGUGGUUCUGUCCCUCACGACCAGAGGAGGGACGCGCAGCAGCAGGUGGGAAGGGAACAGAGAAGGGGCCCCGGGGGUGGUGAGGCGGGGCUGUGACAUGUACAUCACCAACCUGGGGAAAGGACACCUCCUGUAAGGCUGAAAGUUCCACAAACGCAGUGAAACCUCCUCUCCCCAGACCUCCUCCUCUGAGAAGGCCACGCCAGGGGGGAGCAGCAGAAGGGAGCAGGUGCAGGCUGGCAGGGGGCAGGCCUCCUCCGCCCCUCAGUUGGCCGGGCCAACAGUUUUCCUUGUUCUCUGGCCCAGCCGGCGGCCCCACGGACUUCUUGAAGUAGCAGAGGCGGCACACCGAGUGGUACUUGUCGGCUCCACCGAUGACCUCGACCUGGCCGCAGGGACAGCAAGGGGUUGGUGGGGAAGGGCCCGGAACCCUGCGUGCCCCCCCCACCCCAGUCCCAGCAAGAUAAGGCAGGUGGGGGCUACCUCUGUCUCCGCGCCCAGCCUUUUGGUGUAGGCAGCCUCACGGAAGCAGCCCAUGCACACAGCCGUCAGCUUCACGACACUCUCCGCCAGUGGCACGAGGUUCAGGAUGGUCCCAAAAGCCUGCAGGUCCCACAGAAAGGUGGCAGGUGAGGACGUUCACCGUGCCAGGUGAGCUCGCAAACCCUCUCGCAAGCACCAGGAACAUCUGCCUUGACCUCGCUCUCACCCCACUCAGCAUCCUCUCCGGCUCUGUCCCUUUGCCAGUUCAAAGCACCCGCCUGCAGCCCGCGGCAUCCUGUCAGGGACGCUCACUCCUGGGCAAACCAGGGAGCUGGGGAGGCUUGUCUGAGGCCCCUGGGCUCGGGCAAGGCCUGGUCUGAGCAGCUUGGCUCUGCUCGGUGCCGAGCCCCUGGGCCUCCAGGGACCGUUGCAGUUGGGGAGGAGUGCUUGGCUGGCGUUUUUGUGUACGCCCCGUGCCUGCCGGGAGGGCCCUCUCCCCUCUUAGGAGCCCACCAAGACCUGGGCCAGACGCCUCACCUUCCUCUGGAAAGUUCCAUCCAGUGCAGCCACAAUCACGGUCUUCCCAGCAUUGGCCAUGGCCUCACUGAACUCCACAAUGUCAGGGAACUGGAAAGGGGCAGAAGAAGAGUGAACAUCUACCCUGAGCAGCAGCUGCCAAGAAGAAACUGCCGGAUCUGACAGCUCUGGCCUCCCAUCAGCCUGGAGCCUGAGACAGAGCGACUGACAUUCCUGGCGGCUCCCCUGCCCCGGAGCCCGACAUUCGCCUGCUGUCACUCCCGCCCGCACACGACCACACAGGCUCCCGACUGCCUGUGUCCUGUCCGUUUCCCCUGCAGUCAGCUUCCCGAGCCACAACCAUCCUCUGCGCCAGCCCCCAGCCCCCAACGGCGGUCGAGAGGCUCCUGUGCGAUGAUUUAACCAUUUAACCUGUUCCUUCACCUAAGUUGGUAAACACAGCCCUCGGUUGUUGAAGGACUAGACACUCAGAUAAUUUAUUACGUAUGCUGCUUGGCAUAUGGUGGACCUUUCGUGUCACCCUUUUAAAAACAAAAGGAAAACAAUGUGCCAGGUCAUGUCUCAGGAAGGGAAGGAGGAGGGGGGCCACUGGCUGUUUGCACAGCAGGAUGACACAGCACGCCCCAAACGCAGGGCCUGUAGGAAAGGUCACUUACUCUGUAAUUCCAAUUUCAUUUUAAGUGGCCCAGGGAGAAGCUGCUACUUAAACAAGUCCUUUGGUGUGUUUCCAGUGGUCGAUCCUAUCACCUUUUUAUAGACCUCACUGGGCCCUCUGGCUUGGUUGAAGGUGGGGGUGCCCCUACCUCUGGGUGGAGGGUCCCUUAGUCGCAUUUGUUGAGGUUCAAGGUUACUGAGACUUUCCCUCAGCAAGACGAGGAGCAGGAAAGAGAUUUGAAAGCCCAGAGUGAUCCAAGCGGGACAGUUUGCACUCUGUCUGACUCAACCCCCAGCAGAGCCAGCCGGGCUGCUCCCACCUGCCCCAGCCUCCCCCCACAAACAGGUGCCCCUGCGGGGAAGGAAAACCCAGAGAUCCCAGCACCCCCUCCUGGCCACAGCUUUCCCUCUUUCCUCUGAAAGACUGGUCAUUUGUCACAGAAAGGUAGCUCCCAGCAUGCACUGCAUCCCUGGCGUCUGCCCACUGGAGCCAGCAGCACCCCCCCACCACCACAUGUGGCAACUGAGACUGUCUCCAGACGCUGCAAAUGUCCCCCGGGGGGCGGAAUCAGCCCAGCUGAGCACCUCAGCUCCUCAACCCUCCAGGCUAAGGCAGAAGCCGGGACAGACUCUCCCACGCCAGAUUUUAGGAAUCUAGGAAGGUCCUCAGCCUCCCCUCACUCCCACCCUGCGCUGGCUGAUCCCUGCGCCUCAAGGCUUUGUCCCUGUUCAAAAUCCAAAUGCUACCCUCUCCCCACCUGGGGUAACCCCUGAACCCCCACCAGGGGUUCCUGAGCAAUCAGGGACCUCGAAGGUAAGGAGGCGCCCAAGUUGUCUCCAGCCAUUGGACGUGCCCGCCAGUGACCACGUUAUGGUCAUUUACUUGCAUCGCCAUAGUUACCCAAGUCACAUUUAAAGUGGAACUUCAGAGUACUUGGUAAAUUUAGGAUUUUCUUGGUAGACAAAAACAAUGGCAACAUGGAGUCCUUGGAGAAAUGAAACAAGAGGGCACUCGGCUGUGAUGAGGUUGCCAACCACAGAACCCGGCUUGUCUGCGUUUCUGCACCCACAGUGACCCUCGGCACAAAGAGGGGAGAGAGCCCAAAGGAGAGCCGAGGAAGCUGAAUGGAUUUCCACCUUCCUCGCCACGCCGAGGCCGAGGGCCGGCUGGCUGAUGGCACGGCACCAGGUUGUACCCCCGUUCUGCCCACUGGCCCAGACAUACGUAGCACCCAGGGCCCAGCCUCUGUGGCUUCACAGGCAGAAACCAUAAAGGACGGGAGUGAAGAAUGAGGCGAAUUAAAGAUGAAAUUCUGAAUGGUCCAGGGCUAAAUGAAACUCUGCAAAAGUUUAAAGGCAAACGGGAAAGAGCUAUUUACAGCACAUGGCAAGCAGUGCUGGAUAUUUCCAACCCAUGAAAACUGAAAAACGGGUGGAAGCGCUAACAAGGCAUUUUACCAGAGGAAAAAUAAAACACAAGUGGCCAAUAAACACGAAAGAGAAAUGCAGUCAAAUCAGGACAGGCGUGUGUGCCCAUCCCUGGCCAAGCCGCCUCCUCUCCUGUUGAGAUUUCUGGGAAGCCCUCACUGCCCCCCGCCCAGCAGGCCCUUCUCCACACAUUCCCCUGGCAGAUGGGGCCGCCCUUCAACAGCUUCCCAUCAAGUGAGUCUGGGUGAACACAGGGUCCGAGCUGCACAGCAUGGAAACCCCCCUCCUGCUAACGAGCAACUGCCGCUGCCUCGCCUGGGUCUGCCCUCCCUCGGGGAAGGUCUGAGGUUCCCAUCAGAGAACCCCCUCUUCCCUAAUGCACCCCACCAAGAGCAAAGCCUCGCUCCCCUAAGCCCUCCCCAGAAUCAAAGCGAGAUGCCACAAACCCAAAUCCUCUGGGUCUCUUCUGACACCCUCACCGAGACGCCCCACGGAUCCCCUUGGUGGGUGCGCUCCUUCACUGCGACAAGUAAUGACCCCAACUUGUUCCAACUACUUUGGCUGAAGCGUUGACUGUGAUAAAUGACGGGUUUUCUUUUUUCUUAUACGUGUUUCUAACUUUUUCUAGAACUGGCAUAGUAAAUCAGAAACAAAACACAAAAAGCAGUUUUUAAAAACCUAGGCAUCUGAUUACCGCCAAGCCACCCUGCAGGCUCAUGACUCAUAAAUGAACACCCGUGGGUGAAUUAUGGGUUGCAGGGGCUCCCCUAAAAGGGCUUGCUCAACUCUAACCCUCCAUCCCAUCGAUGUGCCCUUAUUUGGAAACAGGGACCUUGAAGAUGUCAACAAGUGAAGAUGGGGCCUAACUGGAUUGGGGUGAACCUGAUCGAAUCUGACCAGCAUCUUUCCCGGUUGGGGAGAAGAGACAGGCUGCCCAAGUGAGGAUGGCCAUGAGAGACGGACGCAGAGAUGAGCAUUAGGCUGCCAGGAGCCAAAGAUCGCCAAGAAUCGCCGGCCACUCUAGCAGCCAGGAGCGAGGCAGGAAUAUUCUUUCCUAUGAACGACGGAGGGGACAUGGCCCUGAUUUCAGGCUUCUGUCCUCCAGAUGGUGAGAGCAGACAUUCCUGCUUGACGAGCCACCCAGUGUGGGGUGAUUUCCACAGCAGCCACGGGAAACGAGGACAGGGAAUGCCUGCGAGACUGGAGUGCCCAGCACCUCAGGCACAGCCUUCUUCGUUUGUGGUUCUGGGGUCUUCAGAUGCGUCUCUCCCAAACACAAACAACUUCGAGGCGGCCAAAUUACACAGCAACUUGAGUGUGUCCAUGCCUUUCCCAGAGUCACAAAUCAGCACGUGAGCUCUGGUUCCGGGAAGUUCUGAUUCCAUCAGGAAGGCAUGGCAGCCACUCUGUGACAGGCCCUUCCCUGCUGGCCCAGAACUGGGCACAAGGGGGGUGGACGACUGUCCCCUGCACCCUCCCCAGCUAAGGAUACAGGGAAGGGAGGGGAGUCUUCUGUCGGGUUCAAAGUCAAGAGUUGGUCUCCCCUAUCCCAGAACGUGCCGCCAAGGGCAGACCCUGAACUUCCCGCCGAGAACGAGAGCCCCAGAAGCGAGGUCAGAGUUGAAGAACAGCAAUCUUUUUAAUAGCGGGUUCAAUAAAUACUUGAUAAAUGAACUCGAGUUUUACUUGCUUGCCAGUGGGGAAGUUGACAGAUUCUCCCACCAGUCAGGAGGAAAGAGGACCUUGGAGUGCUUGGGACACCAGCUCCUCUCCCAGGGCACUUGGCCAUCCACCAGGGAGAAAGAAGAGAAAAGGAAGGCCCCGGCCAGGAGGGCUCGCUCUGCAAACACGCUUUACAGAAUGCAGGAGAGCAGCGCCAUAAAGCAACUCACAGCAGCGGGGUGGAAGGCAGGCAGACUCUUGUUCGGAGAGGGCCGCCCCCAAAAGCUGACCCAUGCCCACGGCUUGGAAGAGAAAGGAAAAGAGCCACGGCUCUUGUUUCCACUCUGAGUUCCCCUUCCUGUCUGGAUGUCCCUUGCUCAUAAAGCAAUGAAAGAAAUAUCUGUGUGUAUGCAUGUGUGUGAGAUUAAGUUCAGACAUGGUUGUGCUCAGAAACAAGAGCAUCGUCUCUGUGGGUGAGAAAUGGAAGGGAUGUACCCAGCUGGGUGAGCAGACACAGCAGAUGCGAGCUACUGGGUGUCCUGGGGCCAAAACCAGAACCAGCACCAGCACCGGCAGCCGGGAGCCCGUCACCGCAAGGGAGAGGCCAGAGAGGACGGCCCGCACAGGGUAAGGAAGGAGCCAGCCUCACCCUGGCAGUGCAGCUUGAGGCCGUGACAUAUAUAACGGCCAAACCUCCUCAUUCUGUCCUGGGAACCUGGGAGGCAGGGUGAGCAGGGAUAAAAGUUAGAAGCCAGCUCUUCUUCCGGAGUGCAGUUAAAGGGGCCCACAUUCCAGUCUCGAGAAGGUCAGCAGAGAGGAUGUAUGUGACUUCCAGCCUGGACCAUGAGCACCACCCAUUGAGGAACCCCAAGGUUUUCCCCCUUCCACUAUGGGUGCUGCCCUCCAGGGUGGUCCUAGAAGCCACGGAUUGAAGAUGGCGAGCCUCGCUGGUGGGCCUCCCUGCCACGGACCCAAAACCUCGUAGGAAAUCAAUCUCUGCUGUGUCAAGCCACUGGAAUUUGGGGUCUAUUUGUUACAGCAGCUUGCAUUAUCCUCACUAAUGUGUUGGGUGAAACUGCCCAGGGGCCAGUAAGCCCCUUUGAAUGUGGGUUUUAGUUUACUUCAUCCAGGAUGAACCUGCCAAAUCAAAAAAUUCCAAAGCACGGGAGGAAAACUAAGACCACAAAAGACAACCAACAAACACAACCAGAACAUGCACUCCUGAGGAAGUGGAAAUAAAGUAAGCUGGAAGACUUUAAAACAAGACUUCCAAAAAGAUAAUGAAAGGGAUGACAUCAAUUUAAAAACAAAAUAGUAAACUGUUAAGGAAAACUGAGUAUUUAUGAAUUAAAGAGUAGCAGAUUGGAAAGAGAACUAGUCAGAAAUCUUAGAAAUGAAAAAUACAGUUAUUGAAACAGAACACACAUUGGAAAACAGUCUCAGAACACCUAACGGUGUCGAGGGGAGAAAUAUCUAAAGUGACAAUAGCUGAAGUCCACCCCCUCUCUGGCUGCUUGUUCCCUUCCCUGCAAAAUGAAAGCAUGAGUGUUCAAACUUACAAGGCACAGCAAAUACCAAACAGAAUAAAUACCUAUCUUUUGCUAUCCAGCUUAAACUGGAGGACAAAAUAGACAUUUUCAGACAAAGCAAGGCUAGAGGAGGCUGUAUAUGUACAGCUUCCCAUUUACACAUCCUAGAUGCAAGAACAACUAAAGGAUAUACCUCAGCAAGAAGAAAAAUACACCAAGGAAUGAGCAAGAAGCAAUAAUGAGCCAAACACAAAACAAAGCACUCCUUAUACACCAGUGUCAAGAAGCUGAACUCUUUGUCCACUGUAAAAUAAACAAUAUACGUAUACAUUUUAAAGGUAAAGUAGGAAGGGGGAGUUCAAAGGCUGUUCAGACACUUGUUUAUUGUAAGCAUGAAAGUGUAAGGGCAAGUACAAAAAGAAUAGAAAUCAAACCAGUAACUUCCAAACCAGCAGCGGAAAAAGAGGGACAGAGGGGGGAUCACAGGAGGAGCAAUGCAGGACGAGCCAACUUACAAACUGUCCUUCGUCGAUGCCAAUGACGGACACACUCAGAGCCUCCUGGGCCACGUCCCAGAGCAGGCAGGCCGGCACUGCCUCCAUGGUGUUCCUGGGGAGGGGAAGCCAGAGCAUGAGCGAGGCCAGGCCGGGGUUGGGGGUGGACCAGAGGCCGGUGCAGGGGCCAGUGCUCCACCUGUAAACCCGGCUGCAGAGUUUUGAGAAGCAAGCGCCGGCGGGAAGGAAUUGGGAGAAUAAAGCCUUUUUCUCUAAAACUAGAUAUUUAACACGAGAUAGUUCACUUGACACUUUGGACCAGAAAUUAGCAACGCCCCACAUAAAUCUCAACUGAGACACAAAAGCCCUGCUGUGUGUCUGCUCAGUGGAUGGGAGUAGACAGGGCCACCUCCUCCAACAGGCGAAGGAGGUGCAGCACCCAGGACCCGCUGUACUUUUAGGGGCUGAUCAAAAUGUUUUCAUUUCAUUUUUAAAAUCAGAAGAAAAAAAUUUAACUCAGCCUGGAUUAUAUAGGUCUAUGUCAAUGCAGUCACAAAAUACAGUUAUUAUUACUAUUUUUUUAUGGAGAAAAGGGCCCAUGAAAGCAAAAGAGCCUAGGGCCCAAGAAAGUUGGAGUGUGGCCCUGGGGGGAGGUCAUGAGCUCCAGAUCUCUAAGCCCUGCGUGCCCCAGCAGAGGCAAGCCAGGGACCCCGAGUGGCAGUGCAAAGCUCUAGAAGAAUUCCCUGCCACUGGCUCCUCCGGAGAGGCUAAGGGGCUUCUCCAAGACCACAUGGCCACUAACCGGCAGAUUCCGGGGCUCCAGUGCAGAGCCACCGUUACGCUGCUGCCUCAACCUCCUACAGAAUCAAUGGGCAUACCCAGCGGGGGGUCCCAGUGCCACUAAAGGAUGUUUUCGAGCCUACUCGACCACCCUGCCAGGGCCAAUCCUGAGGACAAAUGCUGCUCCGUGUCCUCGGCCUUUCUAUCCAGUAUCUGUGUUUCUUGACAAUGUUGUUUUCUUCGGUCCCCAUUUUUGCCUCCUCCUCUGAACUGGCCCCAGGGAGGAGCUGACAGUUUCCUGAAGGCUCAGCAGUUUGUAGCUGUAUUUUUAAACAAUAAUAAAAUAUUUUACAACUACUG